CCUCUCUCUCCCUCGCGAUAUGGAUAGGUGGCUCUCUAUGUAGUCUUCCACAGCUUUCUUGAACGGCAGUCAUCUUCCCAUGGUGCAUGUCUCAGUUGCAGUUCAAUAAAGCUGUGGGAAAUUACAUAGAGAGGCCAAUGGAUCAGCAAAGACGCGGCAACACCGAUGCUCUCGUCUCUGUCUCAGGCACACCACAGGCCGAGUCUUGUGUUGCUUGUGCUUGUUUGUUUGGUUCUGAGGGUAUGCUGUUGGGCACCAGAUGAUGGAAGAAAGCAUGGCUUCGUGACGUGAUAUCAAGCCAGGCUUUUUCUUCUGCCUCACCUUUCUCGUCCUUGUUCUCCAUGAUGAUACUUUUGAAGAAACCCAACCCUAUAAGAGUAAAUUUAGUGUACAAGCACCAUAAGAAAAACUAGCCAAAUGUAGUCAGUCAGAAACAGGUGCAUGCAGUGCCUGGCGCCAGCCCCUGUUCAUGACAAGAAAUCUCUGAAAGAGGAGCUGUGGCUAAUUCAAAAAGAACUGUUAAAUCAGAAUCCAUCAACUGCAAGUUUCAUCUUCCCAGAAAAUAAAAUCUGUGAUAUCCAUUCAUUUUC